UACGUAGGUGGCAAGCGUUGUUCGGAAUUAUUGGGCGUAAAGGGCGCGUAGGCGGCAUGUUAAGUCGGCUGUGAAAGCCUGGGGCUCAACCCCAGAGGGUCGGCCGAUACUGGCAAGCUCGAGUCCGGAAGAGGCGAGUGGAAUUCCUGGUGUAGCGGUGAAAUGCGCAGAUAUCAGGAGGAACACCAGUGGCGAAGGCAG
rnacentral:rRNA from 1 species